UCAUAUUAAACCCUAGCUUCGGAAAUUCUUUAUAUAAGUGAACCCAAUAGCCGCCUCUCAAACAUCAAACACUUCUUCCCCAAUUCAAUCUCUCUUCUCUGAUUUCUCCUGUAUCCGCAGCGAUGCCGAUCUGUUCUUUCGAAAUCGCGAUUUAAGCAAACAAAGACUGAAUUUGAUAUUUUCUGAAUUUAUUUUUGAUUGGCACAUACAUUUUGUAAUUUUCCAGAUGAUUAUAAAUCAUUAGUUUUUUUCCGUUAUA